rnacentral:rRNA from 1 species
AUUGAACGCUGGCGGCACGCUUUACACAUGCAAGUCGAACGGUAACAGGUUAAGCUGACGAGUGGCGAACGGGUGAGUAAUGCAUCGGAACGUGUCCGGUCGUGGGGGAUAACGCAGCGAAAGCUGCGCUAAUACCGCAUACGAUCUGAGGAUGAAAGCGGGGGACCGUAAGGCCUCGCGCGAUCGGAGCGGCCGAUGUCAGAUUAGGUAGUUGGUGGGGUAAAGGCUCACCAAGCCGACGAUCUGUAGCUGGUCUGAGAGGACGACCAGCCACACUGGGACUGAGACACGGCCCAGACUCCUACGGGAGGCAGCAGUGGGGAAUUUUGGACAAUGGGCGCAAGCCUGAUCCAGCAAUGCCGCGUGCAGGAAGAAGGCCUUCGGGUUGUAAACUGCUUUUGUACGGAGCGAAAAGGCUCUCUCUAAUACAGGGGGCUCAUGACGGUACCGUAAGAAUAAGCACCGGCUAACUACGUGCCAGCCGCCGCGGUAA